UACGUAGGGGCCGAGCGUUGUCCGGAGUUAUUGGGCGUAAAGCGCGCGCAGGCGGCUUCGCGCGCCCGACGUGAAAGCCCCCGGCUUAACCGGGGAGAGUCGUUGGGGACGGCGGGGCUUGAGGGCGGGAGAGGUCGGUGGAAUUCCCAGUGUAGAGGUGAAAUUCGUAGAUAUUGGGAAGAACACCGGUGGCGAAGGCGGCCAACUGGACCACAACUGACGCUGAGGCGCGAAAGCGUGGGGAGCAAACAGG
rnacentral:rRNA from 1 species